rnacentral:lncRNA from 1 species
AGUCCUGUAUAGAAAUAUAUUUCUGCUCAUAAAAUGAUUUUGCUCUGUGCAGACAUCAGUGGAACCUAACUGUGUGCUCCAGAUUUUUCAUGUGUUUUCUUGGUAAUUUCUUGAACGGGACCGUUACUGGGUGUUUUGCUGAAGCAUAUUCUCAACCAACCCAGAGAUCUCCUGACAGAUAUGUUAUUUCUGUCUUACUUAUAUUGUGGUGUUUCAAUGGAGAAAUGAUUUAAACUUCUCAGAGGACACCGGGAAGACUAAGAGUGAUAUGAAGAACUUCCUUGACUUUUCAGUGCUGAUACAGAGUACUCGGAAAAAUCAAUACAGCUUCUCCAGGAUAUCAACUCUGCAGAUUCCUACAGAAGAGCAAGAGACAAAGAGAAAGAAUAAUAGGGCUAGACUCAGAGGAGAAAUCAUCAUUGUCCUUCAGAAUCCAACCUUAAGUGAAAAGGAGAAGCAGUCAAAUUGUAAUUUCAACUCUGUGCUGUCAGUGAGAGCUGCGAACAUGAAGCAGUUGCCAUUCUCAGUGGAACAAGAACCAAGUAGGAACUGGAGUUUCAGCACUCUCAGGCUCGUCCUGCAUUUGCUUCCUCACACGCCACUGAAAUACCAGGUCUGCCUCCCUUGACUGGUGAUGGUGCACAGUUUACAGAAGAUGGCCCUUGGAGGAGCUGCCUGCCUUUUGCAGUGACCAAACGUUUCUGCUCUUUGAGGAGGAGGCUGAUUCAAGGAACCUGCAGUCACUACAGUGUGCUCAUCAUCUUCCCUCAUGGCAUCUCCCUCCUUGAAUGUCACCUUUGCUGCCCUUGUGAGAUGUUACAUUUCAG